rnacentral:lncRNA from 1 species
GGUGCCUCCCUGGGCGCCGAGUGCGCAGGCGCCGGCCGUGAAGACCGACCGUGCGCCGGGCUCGAGCGCGGUCUGAGCGCGCGGCGCCUGCGGCGGCGAACGGACGGACGGACCGCGGACGGACGUACUGACCCCAACCCGCGAGCCCCGGGAGCCGUCGGUCUGAGGAGGGGCCGCUUCGCCAUGUCGCCCCGCACCUGCUGAGCCCGGAGCGUCCGAGGAUGUCCGCGCUGAGGAAGGCUUUCUCGCCAUCCGAGGCUUGGCCCUAGCCCUGCGCGGCUUCCCUCGCGGCUGCUAACCCUCUGCCUGCGCCCAGCCCAGCCACAAUGGGGACUGCUCAGGUUUUGCCUGGCAUUCUGCAGAAGCAUUGCUGUAUCUUACCAGACAGGAAUACAGGCCGUCUCCAAACUAUAGUCCUAUUGGACUGGUGCACCAAAUAUGGAUUUGGGGUGUGCGUAAUUCAGUCCAUAGCACCCACCAAACCACAGAAGCUGCCCCGAGCUGAUGUCCCGCUAUCGGUGCGGCUGCAGGACACUGUCCCAUUGCUGCAUGGAGCCUCUCGCUGUCUGAGCCUCACCUGAAGCCGGCCCACACCAUUUUCUUACUCUAUGCAUUGGAGCGAAAAUGUUUAAUUGACUACGAUGGGUGAUUCCUAAAGUUAUAUUUGACUCAGAAAAAAAUGCAUUAGUAAAACUCCCUGUUUGAAUGUUUCUAGUAUUCACAGCCCGGGUCACUGUCUUUCUAUAACGAUUGGUAUCUGAAAUAAGAACAUGGGCUGCAACUUACAGCCUUGCUCUUUCUACUAUAUAAACUUCCCUAAUCAAAUAUUUUUCAUUAAAAAAAUGUGUUUUUGGAAAUAAACAGUUACAACCUGG